rnacentral:rRNA from 1 species
CCUACGGGACGCACCAGUGGGGAAUCUUGGACAAUGGGCGAAAGCCCGAUCCAGCAAUAUCGCGUGAGUGAAGAAGGGCAACGCCGCUUGUAAAGCUCUUUCGUCGAGUGCGCGAUCAUGACAGGACUCGAGGAAGAAGCCCCGGCUAACUCCGUGCCAGCAGCCGCGGUAAGACGGGGGGGGCUAGCGUUGCUCGGAAUGACUGGGCGUAAAGGGCGCGUAGGCGGUUUAUGCAGUCAGAUGUGAAAUCCCCGGGCUUAACCUGGGAACUGCAUUUGAGACGCAUUGACUAGAGGUCGAGAGAGGGUUGUGGAAUUCCCAGUGUAGAGGUGAAAUUCGUAGAUAUUGGGAAGAACACCGGUGGCGAAGGCGGCAACCUGGCUCGAUACUGACGCUGAGGCGCGAAAGCGUGGGGAGCAAACAGGAUUAGAUACCCUCGUAGUC